CUCUUUAAGAGUUAAUUUAAAGUAAAACCUGCUCCAUGCAAUUAUAAAUAGCCGCAGUCAUACUGUGCUAAGGUAGCAUAAUCAUUAGCUUUCUAAUUAAAAGAUAGAAUGAAUGGUUCAACGAAAUAAAAACUGUUUCUUUCAUUUAAAAGUGAAAUUAAAAAAGAAGUUAAAAUUCUUCUAUAAAAAAGAAAGACGAUAAGACCCUAUAAACUUACAUUAAUUAGCUGGGGCGGCUAGAUAAAAAUACCUUAAUUUUAUAUUUUUAAACAAAACAAACAAAGAUUAUAGAGAACAGUUACUUUAGGGAUAACAGCGCUACUUUUUUCCAAAGAUCUCAUAAAAAAUGAUACUACGACCUCGAUGUUGAAUUAUGUACCCUCAACAAAGCAAAAAUUUUAAUAGGUAGUCUGUUCGACUAUUAAACACAU
rnacentral:rRNA from 1 species